AAACGGCCGCGGUAUCCUAACCGUGCAAAGGUAGCGUAAUCWCUUGUCUUAUAAAUAAAGACCCGUAUGAAUGGCUAAAUGAGUAUUUAACUGUCUCCUUUAACUAAUCAGUGAAACUGAUUUCUYMRGUACAAAAGCUGAAAUAAAAACAUAAGACGAGAAGACCCUGUGGAGCUUUAAAUUUUAACAAAGUAUUAAAACAUAUUUAUGGUAAAAAAUUUUUAGUU
rnacentral:rRNA from 1 species